GACGAACCGAGCGAACGUUGUUCGGAAUCACUGGGCUUAAAGGGCGCGUAGGCGGGUGCUCAAGUCUGUGGUGAAAUCCUCCGGCUCAACCGGAGAACUGCCAUGGAUACUGGGUGCCUCGAGGGUGAUAGGGGUAUGCGGAACUAUCGGUGGAGCGGUGAAAUGCGUUGAUAUCGAUAGGAACUCCGGUGGCGAAGGCGGGUCUCUGGGCCGAUACUGACGCUGAGGAGCGAAAGCGUGGGGAGCGAACAGG
rnacentral:rRNA from 1 species